rnacentral:rRNA from 1 species
GGGUGCCUACGGGGCGCAGCAGUGGGGAAUAUUGGGCAAUGGGCGCAAGCCUGACCCAGCAACGCCGCGUGAAGCAAGAAGGCUUCCGGGUUGUAAACUUCUUUUCUUGGGGACGAAGAAAGUGACGGUACCCAAGGAAUAAGCCACGGCUAACUACGUGCCAGCAGCCGCGGUAAUACGUAGGGGGCAAGCGUUAUCCGGAUUUAUUGGGUGUAAAGGGCGUGGAGGCGGGGUUGAAAGUCAGAUGUG